rnacentral:misc_RNA from 1 species
UCCGGUUUGUCACCGGCAGUCUCCCAUGAGUCCCCGGCAUUACCCGCUGGCAACAUGGAACAGGGGUUGCGCUCGUUGCGCCACUUAAGGCAACACCUCACGGCACGAGCUGACGACAGCCGUGCAGCACCUGUGCAGGCUCCCGAAGGAGCCCCGUGUUUCCACGGGUUUACCCUGCAUGUCAAGCCCUGGUAAGGUUCUUCGCGUUGCGUCGAAUUAAGCCACAUGCUCCGCCGCUUGUGCGGGUCCCCGUCAAUUCCUUUGAGUUUUAGCCUUGCGGCCGUACUCCCCAGGCGGGGUGCUUAAUGCGUUAGCUUCGGCACAGAAAGGGUUGAUACUCCCCACACCUAGCACCCAUCGUUUACGGCUGGGACUAC